AAUAAAAUUGCUUUUUCGCAACGGGUUUGCUGCCAGAACACAGGUGUCGUGAAAACUACCCCUAAAAGCCAAAAUGGGAAAGGAAAAGACUCAUAUCAACAUUGUCGUCAUUGGACACGUAGAUUCGGGCAAGUCCACCACUACUGGCCAUCUGAUCUACAAAUGCGGUGGCAUCGACAAAAGAACCAUUGAAAAAUUUGAGAAGGAGGCUGCUGAGAUGGGAAAGGGCUCCUUCACCUGGGUCUUGGAUAAACUGAAAGCUGAGCGGGAACGUGGUAUCACCAUUGAUAUCUCCUUGUGGAAAUUUGAGACCAGCAAGUAUUAUGUGACUAUCAUUGAUGCCCCAGGACACAGAGACUUCAUCAAAAACAUGAUUACAGGGACAUCUCGAGCGGCAUUGUCCUGGAUUGUUUUGCUGCGUGGUGUGGUUGAAUUGGAAGCUGGGAUUCGCCAAAGAAAUGGGCAGACCGAGAUGGCAUGCUCUCUGGCUACACACAUGGUGUGAAAACAACUAAUGUGUGUUAACAAAAUGGAUUCACUGAGCCCACCCCCUACAGCCAGAAGAGAUAACGACGAAAUUGUUAGGAGAGUCAGCCCUCACAGGUUAAAAAGAAAAUUGGGCUAACAACCCGACACAGUAGACAUUUGUGCCAAUUUCUGUUGAAUGGUGAACAACAUGGGGCAGGGGAAGGCCAAGCGUAGCAUGCCUUGGUUCCAAGGAUGGAAGGUCACCCGUAAGGGAUGCAAUGCCAGUGGGAACCACGCGCCUGGGCUCUGACUGCAUCCUACCAGCCAACUCGGGUCCAACUGACAAAGGGCCCUUCGCCUGCUCUCCAGGAUGUCUACAAAAUUGGGUGGUAUUGGUACCUGUUCCUGUUGCAGUGGAGACUGGUGUGUUCUCAAACCGUAUGGUGGUCACCUUGCUCCAGUCAACGUUACAACUGGAGUAAAAUCUGUCGAAAUGCACCAUGAAGCUUUGAGUGAAGCUCUUCCUGGGGACAAUGUGGGCUUCAAUGUCAUAGAAUGUAUCUGUCAAGGAUGUUCGUCGUGGCAACGUUGCUGUGUGACAGCAAAAACGACCCACCAAUGGA